rnacentral:rRNA from 1 species
AUUGAACGCUGGCGGCACGCCUAACACAUGCAAGUCGAGCGGCAGCGAGACUAGUAGCAAUACUAGUUGUCGGCGAGCGGCGGACGGGUGAGUAACGCGUAGGAAUCUGCCCUUAAGCGGGGGAUAACCAAGGGAAACUUUGGCUAAUACCGCAUAAUCUCGAGAGAGCAAAGCUGCCCGCAAGGGUGGCACUUGAGGAGGAGCCUGCGUCCGAUUAGCUAGUUGGUGGGGUAAUGGCCUACCAAGGCGAUGAUCGGUAACUGGUCUGAGAGGACGACCAGUCACACUGGGACUGAGACACGGCCCAGACUCCUACGGGAGGCAGCAGUGGGGAAUAUUGGACAAUGGGGGCAACCCUGAUCCAGCGAUGCCGCGUGAGUGAAGAAGGCCUUCGGGUCGUAAAGCUCUUUAGGUUGGGAAGAAGGGUAUUGGCUGAAUAAUCCAGUACUUUGACGGUACCGACAGAAUAAGCACCGGCAAACUCUGUGCCAGCCGCCGCCGUAAAAC